GUCUUCGUAGCUCAGUGGNNCUCAGUGGAUAGAGCGUCAGGUUGCGAACCUGAAGGUCGUAAGUUCGAAUCUUACCGGGGACACCA
rnacentral:tRNA from 1 species